rnacentral:pre_miRNA from 1 species
CGAUGCCCGUGCUAGCAACCAGAUGGAAACGAGGAGGAGUCCCUUUGAACGAAUCCCGCCCCGGCCUCAUCUGGUCCCUGGCUGGGCAUC